CCUACGGGUGGCAGCAGUGGGGAAUAUUGCACAAUGGGCGCAAGCCUGAUGCAGCGACGCCGCGUGGGGGAUGACGGCCUUCGGGUUGUAAACUCCUUUCGCAACCGACGAAGCUUUUGUGACGGUAGGUUGAGAAGAAGCACCGGCUAACUACGUGCCAGCAGCCGCGGUAAUACGUAGGGUGCGAGCGUUGUCCGGAAUUACUGGGCGUAAAGAGCUCGUAGGUGGUUUGUCGCGUCGUUUGUGGAAUACCGCAGCUUAACUGCGGGGUUGCAGGCGAUACGGGCAUAACUUGAGUGCUGUAGGGGAGACUGGAAUUCCUGGUGUAGCGGUGGAAUGCGCAGAUAUCAGGAGGAACACCGAUGGUGAAGGCAGGUCUCUGGGCAGUAACUGACGCUGAGGAGCGAAAGCAUGGGGAGCGAACAGGAUUAGAUACCCUUGUAGUC
rnacentral:rRNA from 1 species